UACGUAGGUGGCAAGCGUUGUUCGGAAUUACUGGGCGUAAAGCGUGCGUAGGCGGUUCUCCAAGUCCGUUGUGAAAGCCCCGGGCUCAACCUGGGAAUGGCAGUGGAAACUAGGGGACUGGAAUCUGGCAGAGGGGGGUGGAAUGCCGCGUGUAGCAGUGAAAUGCGUAGAGAUGCGGCGGAACACCGAUGGCGAAGGCAGCCCCCUGGGCUGAGAUUGACGCUCAGGCACGAAAGCGUGGGGAGCAAACAGG
rnacentral:rRNA from 1 species